GGGAUAAGGGCUGAAAGCAUCUAAGCCCGAAACCCGACCUGAAAAGAGACCUCUUUAAGGGCAUGGGUAGAAGACCCGUUUGAUAGGGCCGGGGUGUAAGCACCAAGGG
rnacentral:rRNA from 1 species